AACGCACAUUGCGCCCGCUGGUACUCCGGCGGGCAUGCCUGUUCGAGCGUCACUAUAACCAAUCAAGCUCUGCUUGGCCUUGGGGCCUGCCGUAUCAGCAGCUCUUAAAACCAGUGGCAGUGCCGUCCGGCUCUAAGCGUAGUAAUUAUCCUCGCUAUAGGGCUUUGGCGCGCACCUGCUAGAACCUUAAUUUUUUCAAGGUUGACCUCGGAUCAGGUAGGGAUACCCGCUGAACUUAA
rnacentral:misc_RNA from 1 species